rnacentral:rRNA from 1 species
AGUGAACGCUGGCGGUAGGCCUAACACAUGCAAGUCGAACGGCAGCACAGUAAGAGCUUGCUCUUACGGGUGGCGAGUGGCGGACGAGUGAGGAAUACAUCGGAAUCUACUUUUUCGUGGGGGAUAACGUAGGGAAACUUACGCUAAUACCGCAUACGACCUACGGGUGGAAGCAGGGGAUCUUCGGACCUUGCGCGAUUGAAUGAGCCGAUGUCGGAUUAGCUAGUUGGCGGGGUAAAGGCCCACCAAGGCGACGAUCCGUAGCUGGUCUGAGAGGAUGAUCAGCCACACUGGAACUGAGACACGGUCCAGACUCCUACGGGAGGCAGCAGUGGGGAAUAUUGGACAAUGGGCGAAAGCCUGAUCCAGCCAUACCGCGUGGGUGAAGAAGGCCUUCGGGUUGUAAAGCCCUUUUGUUGGGAAAGAAAAGCAGCAGGUUAAUACCCCGCUGUUCUGACGGUACCCAAAGAAUAAGCACCGGCUAACUUCGUG